rnacentral:rRNA from 1 species
GACGAACGCUGGCGGCGUGCCUAAUACAUGCAAGUCGAGCGCAGGAAGCCGUCCGAACCCUUCGGGGGGACGACGGUGGAAUGAGCGGCGGACGGGUGAGUAACACGUAAAGAACCUGCCCAUAGGUCUGGGAUAACCAUGAGAAAUCGGGGCUAAUACCGGAUGUGUCAGCGGACCGCAUGGUCCGCUGAUGAAAGGCCCCACGGCGUCGCCCAUGGAUGGCUUUGCGGUGCAUUAGCUAGUUGGUGGGGUAACGGCCCACCAAGGCGACGAUGCAUAGCCGACCUGAGAGGGUGAUCGGCCACACUGGGACUGAGACACGGCCCAGACUCCUACGGGAGGCAGCAGUAGGGAAUCUUCCACAAUGGACGAAAGUCUGAUGGAGCAACGCCGCGUGAACGAUGAAGGCUUUCGGGUCGUAAAGUUCUGUUGUAAGGGAAGAACAAGUGCCGCAGGCAAUGGCGGCACCUUGACGGUACCUUGCGAGAAAGCCACGGCUAACUACGUGCCAGCCGCCGCGGUAAUAC